UACAGAAAAUGCGAACGUUAAUCGGAAUUACUGGGCGUAAAGCGCACGUAGGCGGCUUUGCAAGUCGGGUGUGAAAUCCCCAGGCUUAACCUGGGAACUGCAUUCGAGACUGCAUUGCUAGAGUAUGGGAGAGGGAAGUGGAAUUUCCGGUGUAGCGGUGAAAUGCGUAGAUAUCGGAAGGAACAUCAGUGGCGAAAGCGACUUCCUGGACCAAUACUGACGCUCAUGUGCGAAAGCGUGAAAAGCAAACAGG
rnacentral:rRNA from 1 species